CGGGACGGGGUGAGUAAUGUCUGGGAAACUGCCUGAUGGAGGGGGGUAACUACUGGAAACGGUAGCUAAUACCGCAUAACGUCGCAAGACCAAAGAGGGGGACCUUCGGGCCUCUUGCCAUCGGAUGUGCCCAGAUGGGAUUAGCUAGUAGGUGGGGUAACGGCUCACCUAGGCGACGAUCCCUAGCUGGUCUGAGAGGAUGACCAGCCACACUGGAACUGAGACACGGUCCAG
rnacentral:rRNA from 1 species